UACAAUUUUUUUAUAACCUGACCGCUUUUCCUAGUUAAUUUUAUUCUUGUUUCAUUCCCAGCAGAAAUGUCUUGUUUACAGUGAUCUUGGUUUUUGUUUUCUGUAUAUGCUGGCUGUAUUCUAGUCUUGCCAUUUUGCUUAUGCUGUUCUAUUCACACUGAAUCUGCUUCCUGAGACCUGUUAGUGUUUGUACUCUCUUGUCAAAUCUUUCCAGGAGCAUUUUAGCCCACAGGAAUGAAAACCUCCACUCAUAUUUAAACUAUUUUUAAAAAUAGCAUUUACUGUAAGAUUUUUUUCACAUUUUUUAUUGCUCAUAGUUUCCUCUGUAUUGCUCUGAUUAUCCUCAAAACAUUAUAGAUAUUUCCAUGGCAUACUCCUUCAUACUUACUCAUUAUGCCAGCAGCAGCGAGAAUGUAUACAAGAAUAUAUCUCUCUCUCUCCAAGGGAGUUUCAAACUUCAUACCCAUGUGAGUUUCACUGGUCUUACUUGUGGUGAGUUUUAAAUUUUUUUUAAAAUUUUAUUAAAAAUUUUAAAGUCCUGGGUUCUACUCUCCAGAGAUUCUGACCCUGGGUAUGGGUUGGGGCGCAGGAGUGUGUCUGUAUUUUAAGCCAGAAUCCCAUGUGAUUCUGAUGCUGACAGCCGUAGACCACCUUGAGAAAACCAGUGUAGUGUCGACUCCAGAGCUGGGCUGGGAGCUGUCUGUGGUCUGGUUUCUGCACCACUGAUUCAUGGACCCUGUCACCUUGGGCAGACUUCCUUUCCUGAGCCCCAUUUUCCUUUCUAAUCCGUGUAAUACCUGUCCUGCCUAUUUCAGAAGGUUGAUUUGAAGAUACUGUAUGUGAGGUGUUUAGAAAUUGACCCAUUAUAUAUAUGUAAGGUGUCAGUUUUAUGUGCAGACACCUUUUUAAUCGAUUCCUAAGCUCAGGGGGGAAAAGUUUCAUAGGAAAAUGAUGUGCUUUGAACUGAAUUUAGUGAAUUUAGUCCCCUCUACACUGUAGGGGGAAAUUUUUGUUAAAUUUCAGCCAGCAUGCUAUUAAUAAAUGUGAAAAAUUAAUUCAUUAAUGAUGGUAACAUUAAAAAUUUAUCUAUAAAAAUGUAGUUAUCAGAAAAUCUCUUCCACGUGAGGUAUUUGAGAUUUAAAACCAUCUAACUCAAGAAUAUUGAGGCAUACUGUUGAAUUAUUUAAGAAGAAUAUUUGUUUAAUUUUUGAAUGUGAAGAAAUACACCUAUGUGUUUUCUUUCCUCCUUUUAAGAGUCUGUUUGAAUCAAAAUGCAAGUAAGACCUAUACAUUAUAAAUGCAAAUACGGGUUUUCAAACUCUGUACUGCUGACAGAGGAUUGGAGGCUCGAUGGAUCGCUGUUCAACCUGCAAAGGCCUGGCUGGGACCAGGCAACUUCUUGGGGCCUGUAUCAUUCGCUCCUUGCGGUAGAGCCAGGUUUUGUGUCAGAGCCCAUGGGGAGGGGCUAGGCUCACAGCAGGUGGCUACCCUGAAUCUGGAUGCUCUGUAACCUGGAGUCCCUGGGAAACACUGCCACUUAAGUGACUUCAGGCUUUGCAGCAAACUCGUAUCACAAGUGCCUUAUGACACGAGUCUGAAUUGCCCUUCACCUGUGUCUUUUCCAUUGCUCCAGCACCUGCUGCUACUCAGGCUCCUGAAAGUUGAUACUGGGUUCUCACUGCAGAACUGGAAGCCUGUUCAGCUGCUAGGACGGAAGCUGACAUUCAUACUGGCAACAGAGGGUGCCGUCUAGUGGUAGGGUGCGUUACGAGCUGGUAAGAAGAAACUUGGGACAGGCUCUGGGCCCAUAGAUUUUUGAAGAAUUGGUGAUGGUAUUUUUAUGUUGUUUCAUGAAAUUCAAGCCAUCCUGCACAGGAAAGAUCAGCUAUGUAGAGGAGUAGGAAGAGCCCAUAUCCAACAGGAUCUCUUUGAAGAAUUAGAUAUGUCGGUCUUUUAGUGGACCAUGGAUACCACCAAUUCCCCUAGGACAAGCUCAUACUGGCCUGUGAUGAGUAACAGAUGGAUAGAUACAUAGAUAUUUGCUACAUAUAGCACAGUAGUUACAGUUAUUGUAUCUGCGUAUUUCAUGAUAAAAUGUUGAGAGGUUGGUGGCGGGGGAAGACAGAUCUGGCUGUCUUCCAAGGAUGGAGUGGCUGUGAGCAGUCAUCUGGUGCCAUAACUUGUUCUUCGUUGUGCCGUCUCACACAGCGAGGUGCCGUGGGUCUUAGUGUAGGUGAGUGGAGCCUCCUGGUAGUGUGCGUGCUCUACUGCAACAGCUGCUCUGCUUGCCGGGGGCCUGGUUCGGGUGCCUGCUGCAGUGUGUCUCAGAAGCCCCCGCUCGUCACAGGGCCCUGGUCGGGCUCAGAGGCUCUAAGCCACAGCACAACAGCCAGAUCUGUCUGUCUUCCCCCGCCUCCAGCUUCCCAACAGUUUACUAUGAAACACUCAAAUGUACUUAGAAGUUGAUAAAUUAUGCAGGUACAAUAACUAUAACUGUUGUGUUAUAUUUAGCAAGUAAUCUAUGUGUCUAUCCAUUUGUUACUCAUUUCAAAGUAAAUUGCAAAUGUUAGUUCACAUCACACCUAAAAUCUUUACUCUAUCAUUAACUACAAUUAUUAUUGUUAGUUUUUUGAGGUAUAAUUUACAUACAAUGAAAUGGAAAAAUCUUAAGUGUACCUUUGGAAGAGUUUUGAUAAGUGAAUCUAGUUUGGUAACCCAAAGCCCCAUAAAGAUACAGAACAUGACCAUCAUCCUGAAAAAGUUCCCUGACAUCCCUUCCCAUUGAAUCGCUCUCAUUUCAGAGGCAGUCCCGUUCUGAUUUUCGUUUCUAUUCGUAUAAGUAAAAUAGUAAAUCAUGUGCCAUUUCGUAUAAAGGCUGCUUUUGAGAGUUGUGCACGCGGAUGCCUGUAGCUUGGUCCUCUUUUUAUUACUGAAUAGUAUUCAGUUGUAUGAAGGUAUCAGAACUUGUUCAUUCUUCUUUGUCAGAUAUAUGUUUGGGGAAUAUUUCCUCCCAGUCUGUGGCUGUCUCAUUUAUUUUCUUACUGAUGUCUGUGGAUAAGCAGAAGAUUGGUUUUUUAUUUAAAUAAAAUGCAUCAAUUCAUAGUUUUAUAAUUACUGCUUUCUCUAUUCUGUCUUGAGAAAUUUCUGCCUUCUCUCACAUAAUGAGAAUAACCUCAUUUUAUAUUUUAGAGGCUCUAAAAGCCUUAGCUUUUAUGUUUACAUCUAUGAUCCAUCUCAAAUUAAUUUUAGUGUAUAUAUGAUAGCAGUCAAAGUUUAUAGGUUUCCAUGAGUGUACGUAGUUGUUCCAGCUUCGUUUGUUCAAAACACUUUCUUCAAUGGAUUGCUUUGGAGCUUUUGUCAAAAAUGAAGUGACCUUGUAAGUAUCGGUAUGUUUCUGAGCUCUCCAUUUUCAUUUAUUUAUUCAUUAAUCCUUAUGCCAGUGCUACACUGUGUUGAAAUAAAUCUUGAAGCCAGGUAGUACAGGUCCUUCAGUUUCAUUUUCUAAGAGGUCGCUUUACAUGUUCUGGGUUAGGGGUGGCAAACUGGUCACGCAGCCACAUUUAUAUGGCCACUUGAGUGAUCUCCUGUUGUUCGACAUGGAGAGCAAGUUGGGUCGUCCCUUUCUGUCCUCAUUACCCUCUCCCCUGUCGGCAGCUGCCGGGACCAAAUGGUGUAGUCUUAUUUGGGGGUGGUGACUCAGUCAUCUUUGGCCAAAUGCUCAAAUGGAGAUGACUGGGCUCUCUCGGAGGAGAGAAAGGAACAUUGGGAGCCAAGUGCCACUGGCACAGAGAAUGAAAAUGACCCAGGGUUGUUAAUUCAGAUUAUCAGUUUCUUGUGUCAGUUUUGAUGAGUUGUAUUUUUCAGGGAAUUUGCCUGUUUCAUCUAAGUUGUCAUAUUUAUUGAUGUAAAGUUAUUCAUAAUAGACCCUACUGUAUAAUGUGUAUUGGGUCUAUAUAGUUGGGUCUUUAUUCUAUUUACUCUGGGUUAUUUGCUUUUCUUAGCUUGUUAAGGUGGAACCUAAGGUAAUUGAUUUGAGAACUUUUUUUCCUAAUAUUAUUUUAGAGCAAUAAA